rnacentral:lncRNA from 1 species
UAAUCACCAGCUUCGGCGGCCGCGGCUUUUCCUCCUCCGCCACCACCGCUGGUGGCGCCGCCGCCGCCGCCACCGCUGCUGCUGCCGUCUUAUUCUCCGCUGCGCGUUUAAGGGCUUGGAUGCGGGGGAGGUAGGCGGCGUCGAGAAGGCGGCGGAAGUCGAGGAUGGUCUGGUUCGCCGGCGAGGUGAGGGAGGGGUCGACGGCGAGCUCAUCGUGGAUGCGGAGGCCGACGGUGACCUCCGGGAAGCAGUGGGUGCGGUGGUCGCCGGAGAAGUCGACGGGGGGGAAGGCGGAGAGUUGGGAGAGGACGUCGCCAUACUUGGUGACCCACCAUGAAUGGUACUCGACGAUGACGAAGACCACGCGGCGGUUGUAGCGGAGGGAGGUGAUGUACAGAGGGAUGAGGCCGUCGUUGAACUCAUGGUAGAGGUUACCGGUGUAGCCGCCGGUGGAGAAGACGAUGGCGGGGACCCCAUGGACGACGUCGCAGUGUUGGGCGCCGCCGCCGCCGGAGCUAUUGAGGACGACGAGGUCCAGCUCCUGGAUGGUGCUCAUCACGCUGGUCUCCCAUUUCCGGGUGUAGGGCCGGAUCUUCUCCACACGGAUGGGGGAACCGUCGCCGGAGGAGGAGGCGUUGUUCCCGCCGGCGAAGAGGAGGAUGGAGGAGGUGGAGGGACUGGUACGGACGUCGCCCCGGAGAACGCAGACGUCGGACCGGAUGCUAGAGGUACGGUCACACCAGAUGGAGUUCUCCGGCACGGAGGAGUAGCUCACCUCGCCGGCGUCGGAGGGGAAGACGGACUCCGGUUCAGAGCCUG